rnacentral:rRNA from 1 species
GUGAGGAAUUUUCCGCAAUGGGCGAAAGCCUGACGGACCAAUGCCGCGUGAAGGAUGAAGGCCUAUGGGUUGUAAACUUCUUUUCUCAGAAAAGAAUUAUGACGGUAUCUGAGGAAUAAGCAUCGGCUAACUCUGUGCCAGCAGCCGCGGUAAGACAGAGGAUGCAAGCGUUAUCCGGAAUGAUUGGGCGUAAAGCGUCUGUAGGUUGUUUAAAAAGUAUUCUGUCAAAGAUUAGGGCUUAACCCUAGAUAGGCAGAAUAAACUUUUAAGCUAGAGUUUGGUAGAGGCAGAGGGAAUUCCCGGUGGAGCGGUGAAAUGCGUAGAUAUCGGGAGGAACACCAAAGGCGAAGGCACUCUGCUGGGCCAAUACUAACACUGAGAGACGAAAGCGAGGGGAGCAAAUGGGAUUAGAUACCCUAGUAGUCC